GAUGAACGCUGGCGGCGUGCUUAACACAUGCAAGUCGAACGAAGCACCUUAUUCUGAUUUCUUCGGAAUGAAAAAUUUGGUGACUGAGUGGCGGACGGGUGAGUAACGCGUGGGUAACCUGCCUCGUACAGGGGGAUAACAGUUAGAAAUGACUGCUAAUACCGCAUAAGACCACAGCACCGCAUGGUGCAGGGGUAAAAGCUCCGGUGGUAUGAGAUGGACCCGCGUCUGAUUAGGUAGUUGGUGGGGUAACGGCCUACCAAGCCGACGAUCAGUAGCCGACCUGAGAGGGUGACCGGCCACAUUGGGACUGAGACACGGCCCAAACUCCUACGGGAGGCAGCAGUGGGGAAUAUUGCACAAUGGGGGAAACCCUGAUGCAGCGACGCCGCGUGAGCGAUGAAGUAUUUCGGUAUGUGAAGCUCUAUCAGCAGGGAAGAAAAUGACGGUACCUGACUAAGAAGCACCGGCUAAAUACGUGCCAGCCGCCGCCGCGG
rnacentral:rRNA from 1 species